CCUGAUAGCUCAGUUGGUAAAGAAUCUGCCUGCAAUGCAGGAGACCCUGGUUUGAUUCCUGGGUCGGGA
rnacentral:tRNA from 1 species